CGAUCAGAUACCGCCCUAGUUCUAACUGUAAACGAUGACAACCAGCGAUUAAUCGGCGUUAAUAUAUGACCCGAUUAGCAGCUUCCGGGAAACCAAAGUUUUUCGUUUCCGGGGGAAGUAUGGUUGCAAAGCUGAAACUUAAAGGAAUUGACGGAAGGGCACCACCAGGAGUGGAGCCUGCGGCUUAAUUUGACUCAACACGGGAAAACUCACCCGGCCCGGACACCGUAAGGAUUGACAGACUGAGAGCUCUUUCUUAAUUCGGUGGGUGGUGGUGCAUGGCCGUUCUUAGUUGGUGGAGCGAUUUGUCUGGUUAAUUCCGAUAACGAACGAGACUCUGGCCUAUUAAAUAGACGAUAUAUUUACUAGUAUAUCGCGCUUCUUAGAGGGACAAGCGGCGUCUAGCCGCAUGAAAUAGAGCAAUAACAGGUCUGUGAUGCCCUUAGAUGUCCGGGGCUGCACGCGCGCUACACUGAAAGAAUCAGUGGGCGUUAUACCUAGUUCGGAAGAACCGGGUAACCCAAGUAAAUUCUUUCGUGCUUGGGAUAGGGAAUUGCAAUUAUUUCCCUUAAACGAGGAAUUCCCAGUAAAUUCGGGUCAUAAGCUCGAGUUGAUUACGUCCCUGCCCUUUGUACACACCGCCCGUCGCUACUACCGAUUGGAUGACUUAGUGAGGUCUUAGGACCGAGGUAAAGGUGCCUGUUAUGGGUGCUUUUGCUUUGGAAAUUUGAUCGAACUACGUUAUCUAGAGGAAGUAAAAGUCGUAACAAGGUUUCCGUAGGUGAACCUGCGGAAGGAUCAUUACCGAGCUACGAAAACAAGUACUACUACAACUGAUACGGGUUCAUAUUCUCGUUGAUGUUCGCGUACGUACACCCUCUUUGCUUUAGACUAGCGCGAUACGCGGUCGGGCGCCUAGUCAGCGCAAUUCCGCCGCUAGUCUCUAGCCGAGGCCGGCAGAGUUUAAAACGUACGGAGAGAUUUCGAGAAACGAAAACUCUCGAGUCUCGUUGGGCGUAACUCUGUCAGACGGAUCGAAAUCAGAUUUCUUACUGGUUUCCCUUCGGGUACCUAUCGAGUUUAGCGAUACAGCUCUAACGUCUGGCUGUAAAGAAUAUUCGUUAUACUCGAAGAUCCUAGUACUGUAUUCGAAACAACAGGAACAGACAGAUUUAAAGAGUCGCCGGCUCUCGCUUCUUUGAGCAGUCGAUCGAGCAGUAGCUGGCGAAUAGCGAAACUCGAUCAACUUCGGACCAUGUCCGGGUGACCGCCCGAAAACUUUAAAAACAAAGUUUAAACCAUAGAAAAUAUAUAAAACUUUCUUGCAAAGUUAUAUAUGUAGAAACAAAGGAAUCCUAGAGAGAUUUCAUUCUAAGCGG
rnacentral:rRNA from 1 species